AGUGAACGCUAGCGGUAGGCCUAACACAUGCAAGUCGAACGGCAGCACAGUAAGAGCUUGCUCUUACGGGUGGCGAGUGGCGGACGGGUGAGGAAUACAUCGGAAUCUACUUUUUCGUGGGGGAUAACGUAGGGAAACUUACGCUAAUACCGCAUACGACCUACGGGUGAAAGCAGGGGAUCUUCGGACCUUGCGCGAUUGAAUGAGCCGAUGUCGGAUUAGCUAGUUGGCGGGGUAAAGGCCCACCAAGGCGACGAUCCGUAGCUGGUCUGAGAGGAUGAUCAGCCACACUGGAACUGAGACACGGUCCAGACUCCUACGGGAGGCAGCAGUGGGGAAUAUUGGACAAUGGGCGCAAGCCUGAUCCAGCCAUACCGUGUGGGUGAAGAAGGCCUCCGGGUUGUAAAGCCCUUUUGUUGGGAAAGAAAAGCAGCAGGUUAAUACCCCGCUGUUCUGACGGUACCCAAAGAAUAAGCACCGGCUAACUUCGUG
rnacentral:rRNA from 1 species